UGGUUCUGGCAUNGAUGAAGAAAGCAGCGAAAUGCGAUAAGUAAUGUGAAUUGCAGAAUUCAGUGAAUCAUCGAAUCUUUGAACGCACAUUGCGCCCCUCGGCAUUCCGGGGGGCAUGCCUGUUCGAGCGUCAUUAACAACCCUCAAGCUCUGCUUGGUUCUGGGACGUGCCGGCGUGGCAGUCUUUAAAUCCAGUGGCGGCUCUGGCUGGGUCCAAGCGCAGUAUAUCUCUCGCUUAGGGUCCAGCCAUAGACGACCAUCAAUCUAUGCCUCUGGCACCCACGAUUUGACCUCGGAUCAGGUAGGAAUACCCGCUGA
rnacentral:misc_RNA from 1 species